rnacentral:rRNA from 1 species
UCGACGGGAGAAUUGCUAGCUUGCUAAUAAUUCUCUAGUGGCGCACGGGUGAGUAACACGUGAGUAACCUGCCCCCAAGAGUGGGAUAGCCCCGGGAAACUGGGAUUAAUACCGCAUAAAAUCGCAAGAUUAAAGCAGCAAUGCGCUUGGGGAUGGGCUCGCGUCCUAUUAGUUAGUUGGUGAGGUAACGGCUCACCAAGGCGAUGACGGGUAGCCGGUCUGAGAGGAUGUCCGGCCACACUGGAACUGAGACACGGUCCAGACACCUACGGGUGGCAGCAGUCGAGAAUCAUUCACAAUGGGGGAAACCCUGAUGGUGCGACGCCGCGUGGGGGAAUGAAGGUCUUCGGAUUGUAAACCCCUGUCAUGUGGGAGCAAAUUAAAAAGAUAGUACCACAAGAGGAAGAGACGGCUAACUCUGUGCCAGCAGCCGCGGUAAUACAGAGGUCUCAAGCGUUGUUCGGAAUCACUGGGCGUAAAGCGUGCGUAGGCGGUUUCGUAAGUCGUGUGUGAAAGGCGGGGGCUCAACCCCCGGACUGCACAUGAUACUGCGAGACUAGAGUAAUGGAGGGGGAACCGGAAUUCUCGGUGUAGCAGUGAAAUGCGUAGAUAUCGAGAGGAACACUCGUGGCGAAGGCGGGUUCCUGGACAUUAACUGACGCUGAGGCACGAAGGCCAGGGGAGCGAAAGGGAUUAGAUACCCCUGUAGUCCUGGCAGUAAACGGUGCACGCUUGGUGUGCGGGGAAUCGACCCCCUGCGUGCC